UUUGCCACAACCCUUGCAUUUACCCAUUUUGUGCACACCAGUAGAACCACAGAGUCGAUCAAAACUACCAACGCAAUCACUCUGGUUCAAACAGCUCACAUGGCCUUCCCUUGUUUAAAUGGUAUACAGAUUAGAAGUGCCUCACGCAUUCCCCCCAGACGCUAGAAUCACAAACAGAGAGAGAGAGAGAGAGAGAGAAGUGUAGGUCACAAUACAGGAUAUUUGGAUCCAGAGAAAGCAGAAGAGCGAGAGAGAGAGAGAGAGAGAGAGA
rnacentral:misc_RNA from 1 species